rnacentral:lncRNA from 1 species
ACUCCUGAUACUGGUGAGCCACUGAACCAACACCGGCCACUGACUACCUCCAGAUUUCUUUUUAUUUGGAAACUAUGCAAACUGUUGGAAAAAACUGGAAUUGACUGGCUGUGUUUGGUUUGGACAACUCAUCGAAAUGAGAGGGAGCCCAGCACGAGUUCUGCUUGAGUGAUGUCUGAAAAUCUGGCCUCUCAGUCUACCUUAAAAGCCUACCUAUUUGGCUUUCACUAGAGUUCAGAUACAUAAAACAAAUAUCUUUGCUUUGGCUUCCCUUGAGUCAUAUCAAUCUACACCUCAUCAAGAAUAUGAAGUUUGGAAGAACAAAGAAGCAAUUGAGCAUCCUAAACUCAACGGGCAAGUAACAUGGACAUUGAUACACCAAGUUCCUUCUUGUUUUUCCUUGAAAGUUGGCUUGAUGAAUGUAUUCUGCAGGGAUUUUAAAGGUGUGGAAAUGAAGCAGACAUCAAGGACUGCUGCAGUUUACUGGGGGUCCACUCCAGACCUUAGUUGCUUCAGUUUUUCCCUGUACCUGGAGGUAUCGUCAGUGAAGCCUGCAAAACAGCAAAGAUGGCAGCCUGCUCCUUCCUCUGGAAGCUCCAUCCCAGGGAUGCACUGACCUGUUGCCAGAAGGAACAUGCCUGUAGGAGGUGGCUGGAGACCCCUGCUGGGAGGUCCCACCCACUCGGGAGGAAUGGGAUCAGGGACCCACCCCAAGAAGCCCUCUGGCUGCCCUUUGGUAGAGUAGGUGCCAGGAGACCCUUCCUUGCCUGGACCAUUUGUAUUUUCCAAAGUUGGCAGGCUGGAAUGGCUGAGUUUACCAAACUGCAGAGAUGACAGCUGCUCUUCCCCUGUGAGCUUCAUUCCAGGGAGAGAUCAGAACUUUGUCUGUAGAACCCUUGCUUGUGUGGCUGAAGCCCCUGCAGGGAGGACUUGCCCAGUGAAGAGGAAUAGAUUGAGGUACCGCUUAAAGAAGCAGUCUGGCCAUGAUCUGGCAAGGCAGCUGUGCUGUGCUGCAGGGAACCUCUCCUUGCUCGAACUUCUUGUAUUCUUCAAAGCUAGCAGGCUGAAACCAAUAAAUUUAAAUUUAAAUAGGUAAAAAUAAGUAAAUAAAGAUAAAGAAAAAUAAAUUGACUGAUUUAUUCUGCCUUCAGGAGCUCUUAGAUGAUGUAGGAAAACAAAUAAUACUGUACAAUCAAAGUCGAAAUUCCUUAAGCAGAGGGUCUUAUGAGAACACAAAGGGAAGGCAACUGGAGCUUUACAGAUGACUUCCUAGACUAGAGAUACCUGAUGUGGGUCUUUAGGGUUAAGUCAUUAAUAGCAAGGCCAAGUAGAGGAAGAGCAUAUCCUACAGAGAAAAAAAGAAUAAGCAAAGGCUGGCUGUUGAGAGAAUUGCAAGUGCUUAGUAUGACUAUAGCGGUAGUCUCAACAGGAGCAGGACAUCCUUAGGGGAUGUUUUGAAAAAUUUUUGUGGAAUUUUCUUGGUCCCAGUAAUUAGUAAGCACUAUUAGCCUUAAAAUGAUAAAGGGCCACUGAGCUAGAUGUUCUGCAAUGGGCAAGACAAUUGCACACAAUGAAAAAUUGUCCCAAGUUCAAGUUUGGACAAGUUAGGGAUGUCCCUCCAGGCAUUUUUGUCAAUGAAAAACCUCUUUGUAACUGUCUUGGCAUAGAGCCUAACUCCAUAUAUACAUAUAACACAAAAUAUUUUUGCACAGUUUUAAUAUACACUAAAUUUUCCAGGGACACAAUUACAUAAAUUAAGGAAAGAUCAUGCUUUGCUGUGUUUGGAACUUAUCAAGAGUCAUUCACCAUUCUAGAAAAUAGCAUCAAAGAUGCAAUAUAGCUCUUGGUGUCUGAGUUGCCAGUUCAGCCAUCUGUGUCAAUCUGUAUUUGUAGAUAUUGCAGUCAAGGUGAUAUUAUUUUUAAGCAAAAGUGUCUGACAACUUUAUUAAGUUCCCCAAUGUAGCUGUGCCAUAGCAUUUUAGAUUAUUUUAAAUUGUAUAUUACUUUCCUUUUAUUUUUCCUCUAAUGAUAGAUACUUAGGGCAUUUUUUUUAAAAACCCAAUGAGAAGACAGGUUAUUUUAUCUAUGAGUUUCAUUUCAGGAUAGUAAAAGUGUAUUACAAAAUGCUGGUUGUAACAACGGGGACAUUAGGUUGCAAAGGACAGAAUGGGCUGGUAUGUCAGUAGCAUCUCUUUCCCCAAAGACCUCAGUUGUGACAUGUGAAACUCUAAUUGCUAUGUGAUGUUUCCAGUUGUAAG